AGCUGUGUCUGCUCCUAGUUCUUUAGGGAGGACAGUUUGCGUUAGCUAUGCCAGUGGCAUUGUUGCAGUUGAGAAAGAUGUUGUGGACCCUUCAACUCCAAUUUCAGACCAGAUUAUGAAAGCAGGUAUUGCAGCAGUUAGUUUUCUAUCUGAUUUGGUAAACUACAAAAUUCCUAUAUCUGAUGGAAGUGGAAUUAACACACCUAAAAACUGCAUGGUUGACCCCACUAGGCCACAUUCCACUCUAAAAUCUUCGAAUGUGAAACCCAUCAAGAGAGAGAACUUUUCUAAAGUUCAUCCAAAACCAUCUCCAGAGGCAGUAGUCCAGUCCAAUAUUAGUAACCAUAACAUUUCAAAGGAUAAAGGUGACAAAUCAAGUUUUAUCGGAAAUUCCAAACAUGUUUCAAAAACUACUUGUGGUAGUUUAGUGGAAACACAGAGCAUUGCUUUGGGUGCAUGUGAUAAAAGGAGAAAUAAGCCUCAGAGACCAAAAGCCCAAUCAAAUCAGUUCAUGAAAAAUUUUAAUGCCAAUGUACAGGCUCCAGAUGCAAAGAUUGUGGAGCACUUCUGUGAAGAUCACAGAACAUUCUCAAAAGAUGCUAAAAUUACAGCUGUAAUGGCUACAAAUACCAGACAGUUUGCAAGCAGCAGGCACAUAGUGGAAAAUGUUUCUCAGAUACUCAGACAACUAAGGUGGGGACCUGCAACAGAGAAGGCUCUUGGAAAUCUUAAUUAUUCAAUUCAAUGGAUGCAUAUAAAGCAAACCAAGUCCUUAAGCAGCUUCAAGAUCAUACAGUUGCUCUUGGAUUUUUCUAUUGGUUAAAACAGCAACCUGGGUUCAAGCAUGAUGACCAUACUUACACAACCAUGGUUGGCAUCCUUGGCCGUGCAAAGCAGUUUCGUGCAAUUAAUAAAUUGCUUGAUCAGAUGGUCAAAGAUGGAUGCCAACCUAAUGUUGUAACUUAUAACCGUCUUAUUCACAGUUAUGGUCGCGCAAACUACCUGAAUGAAGCAGUUAAUGUUUUUAAUCAAAUGCAGAAGGCAGGGUGCAAACCUGAUCGUGUUACAUACUGCACACUCAUUGACAUUCAUGCGAAAGCUGGGUUUCUUGAUUUUGCUAUGGAGAUGUACCAAAGGAUGCAAGCUGCUGGCCUUUCUCCAGAUACAUUCACUUAUAGUGUUAUGAUAAACUGCCUUGGAAAAGCUGGCCAUUUAGCUGCUUCCCACAAGCUAUUUUGUGAGAUGGUUGAACAAGGAUGUGUUCCUAAUUUAGUCACUUAUAAUAUCAUUAUUGCUUUGCAAGCCAAGGCAAGGAAUUACCAGAGUGCAUUAAAGCUUUACCGUGACAUGCAGAGUGCUGGAUUUGAACCUGACAAAGUAACUUAUAGUAUAGUUAUGGAGGUGCUUGGACACUGUGGUUAUCUUGAUGAAGCAGAAGCAGUUUUUUCUGAGAUGAAAAGAAAGAAUUGGGUGCCUGAUGAGCCUGUCUAUGGCCUUCUGGUCGACUUGUGGGGAAAGGCUGGUAAUGUUGAAAAGGCUUGGGAAUGGUAUCAGACCAUGCUCCAUACUGGCUUGCGCCCAAAUGUGCCCACUUGCAAUUCCCUUCUUAGUGCAUUCCUACGCGUGCACAGGCUUGCAGAAGCUUAUAACUUGUUGCAGAGCAUGUUGAAUUUGGGUCUAAGCCCUUCUUUGCAGGCAUAUACAUUGCUCCUUAGUUGUUGUACAGGGGCACACUCACCAUAUGAUAUGGGGAUAUAUUGUGAGCUCAUGGCAGUCACAGGCCACCCUGCACAUGUGUUUCUGUUGUCUUUGCCAUCAGCCGGACCUGAUGGUCAAAAUGUGCGGGAUCAUGCAAGCAAGUUCUUGGAUCUGAUGCAUAGUGAAGAUAGAGAGAGCAAAAGGGGACUAAUAGAUGCGGUAGUUGAUUUCCUUCACAAGUCAGGGCUCAAGGAGGAGGCUGGCUCAGUUUGGGAGGUAGCUGCACAGAAGAAUGUGUAUCCUGAUGCUGUUAAAGAGAAGAGUUCUUGCUAUUGGCUUAUCAACCUGCAUGUUAUGUCUGAUGGUACUGCUGUGACAGCAUUGUCACGGACGCUUGCUUGGCUUCGCCGUCAGAUGCUAGUCUCAGGGAUUAGUCCUAGUCGUAUUGAUAUAGUGACUGGAUGGGGCCGACGGAGCAGGGUUACGGGAUCUUCCUUGGUGAGGCAGGCAGUACAAGAAUUGCUGCAUAUUUUCAGCUUUCCCCUUUACACUGAAAAUGGCAAUUCUGGGUGUUUUGUUGGGUGUGGGGAGCCUCUUAGCAGGUGGUUGCUCCAAUCUUAUGUGGAGCGGAUGCAUUUACUGUAAGCAGCUGAUAUUUUAUUUUCGUUGUUGCUUAUGCACAUUUUUGUUGCAGUCUCAUGUGCAUAAUUCUGUAUUUAUGUGUUUCAAGUUACAAGAUACCUUCUUGCUGAUUUUUGAUAGUUUUGCAUUCUGCCGUAGCUCUUGGCUUUUUAGAAACAUUGACUUAUUGUUCUAGUUAUAUUGUGUGCAAGUUCAAUCAUCUAGCUAGUUUUUUUGAGGCCAAAAAAAAAAAAAAAAAAAAAAAA
rnacentral:misc_RNA from 1 species